rnacentral:rRNA from 1 species
AGUGAACGCUGGCGGUAGGCCUAACACAUGCAAGUGAACCGCAACCCAAGUAACCGUUUGCUCUAACGGGGGCCGGGUGCGGGACGGGAGAGGAAUACACCGCAUCUAAUUUUUCGUUGGGGAACAUGGUAGGGAAAAUAACGAUAAACCAGCCACCAACUUACGGGUGAAGCAUGGGAUUCUUCGAACUUUGCCUAAUUAAUGGUCCCGAUGUCGGAUUAGCUAGUUGGCGGGGUAAAGGCCAACCAAGGCGACGAUCCGUAGCUGGUCUGAGAGGAUGAUCAGCCACACUGGAACUGAGACACGGUCCAGACUCCUACGGGAGGCAGCAGUGGGGAAUAUUGGACAAUGGGCGCAAGCCUGAUCCAGCCAUACCGCGUGGGUGAAGAAGGCCUUCGGGUUGUAAAGCCCUUUUGUUGUGAAAGAAAAGCAGCAGGUUAAUACCCCGCUGUUCUGACGGUACCCAAAGAAUAAGCACCGGCUAACUUCGUG